GAUGAACGCUGGCGGCGUGCCUAAUACAUGCAAGUCGAGCGAACAGACGAGGAGCUUGCUCCUCUGACGUUAGCGGCGGACGGGUGAGUAACACGUGGAUAACCUACCUAUAAGACUGGGAUAACUUCGGGAAACCGGAGCUAAUACUGGAUAACAUGUUGAACCGCAUGGUUCAACAGUGAAAGACGGUCUUGCUGUCACUUAUAGAUGGAUCCGCGCCGCAUUAGCUAGUUGGUAAGGUAACGGCUUACCAAGGCAACGAUGCGUAGCCGACCUGAGAGGGUGAUCGGCCACACUGGAACUGAGACACGGUCCAGACUCCUACGGGAGGCAGCAGUAGGGAAUCUUCCGCAAUGGGCGAAAUCCUGACGGAGCAACGCCGCGUGAGUGAAGAAGGUCUUCGGAUCGUAAAACUCUGUUAUUAGGGAAGAACAAAUGUGUAAGUAACUAUGCACGUCUUGACGGUACCUAAUCAGAAAGCCACGGCUAACUACGUG
rnacentral:rRNA from 1 species